GAGAAAAUGAUAUUUGAAAGCCAGGAAAUGCAGAUCUGUAGGGAUACAGACAAAGAACAUAUGUAAACCCUUGGGAAUGGACAAUGAUGAAAUGACCCCAAACAUGAUUAUUCCUUGCUACUUCCUGAAAUCUGUUCCUCAAAUCCCCAAACUAACAGUUCCCUGAAUUUACAGUUCACAAAAGUGUUCAAGGGUUUUCAGACCCUUCGCCUGGCUCCACAGAAAGUGCGGAAGGGAGGGAUUUUAAAGAUGUGCACAAGUGGGUCAGCCAAGGUUCACUUCUUGAGAUCUUCCAGAUAUUUAUUAGGAGUUCAUGGGAGGGGAUGUUCAUUUCUGUAGACACAGGAUGGAUUUUUCAAAAUGUAAAGUGCAGGUACUUUUAAGUCUAUGGCUAGACUGAGAUAAGCAUGUCUGCUGAUGAUGGAAUUGUUCAGAUGUAGCCUGUCUAGUUUACUCAGAGGCCACCAAGCAAAGCCAGAGGAGCAGUGGGAGGCAUGCCAGGAAGUUGACAUUGAAGCGACUUUCCCAGGCUCCAGAGGCAACAAUCAGGUGAGCCCAUCCUCUCCAUAAGGAGGGCUAUGCUGACCAACUGGAAGCUUGGGGAGCAUGGUCUAGUGUGGGCUAGCCCAGCAUCAAGGAGAGAAGGCCAUUCUAGGGUAGCAUGUGAAAUAUGUGCACCUUGACUCCAUUGUGCUUGUUUCCUAGGCUUUAAUGGGGCUUAUAAACACUCAGUCUGCUUAUAAACACUCAGUUGGAUAAUUAGCAAAUGUUUAUUUGCUAUUGUGUGCAUAAAGCACUAUGCUAGACACUGGGGCCAUUCAGGGCAACCUGGCUAGGGUGGUGUUUUCUAUGUUUGCCCUUCUACCACCUAUCCUGAUACAUAUGUCUCUCUAUAUAUAGCAAGAAAAAGCAAAUAUGUGCUCUUUUCUUUCCAGAAUCUCUUGUUUGCGGCCCUUUUCCUAAAUCAGUCAGAGGUAUAUGCAUUCUUUGGAGAAAAAUUUAAAUUGUUAGAAAAAAAGAGACAAAAAUUUAUUUCUCUUUAAAUUUCCCAAAUCAGCUCUUUUGCCCUCUUAUUAAAUUGAGGUAUGACAUGCCUACAGUGAGU
rnacentral:lncRNA from 1 species